AACACCUGAAGCCGUCGGGCUAACCCGUAAGGGGGGCAGACGUCGAGGGUGGGGUCGGUGAUUGGGGUGAAGUCGUAACAAGGUAGCCGUACCGGAAGGUGCGGCUGGAUCACCUCCUUUCUAGGGAG
rnacentral:rRNA from 1 species